rnacentral:rRNA from 1 species
CCUACGGGUGGCAGCAGUAGGGAAUGUUGGGCAAUGGGGGGAACCCUGACCGAGCAACGCCGCGUGAAUGAAGAAGUUAUUCGUAAUGUAAAGUUCUUUUAACAGGGAAGAAAGAGAAAUUUGACGGUACCUGAAGAAUAAGCUCCGGCGAACUACGUGCCAGCAGCCGCGGUAAUACGUAGGGAGCGAGCGUUAUCCGGAAUUAUUGGGCGUAAAGGGGGCAUAGAGGGCAUAGUAAGUCUUUUGUAAAAAUGCUGGGCUCAACCCAGUAGGGCAAAAGAUACUGCAAAGCUAGAGUAUGACAGAGGCAAGUGGAACUACAUGUGUAGCGGUGAAAUGCGUAGAUAUAUGUAAGAACACCAGUGGCGAAGGCGGCUUGCUGGGUCGAUACUGACAUUGAGGCACGAAAGCGUGGGGAGCAAACAGGAUUAGAUACCCUAGUAGUC